CGUCUCGGCCCGAUUUGUCUAGCUACCGCCCCGAUAUUUCUGAACUCCCGAAUCAUCUCUUUGAAUCCCGGACUUCCAAACCCGGAUCCAGUCUUCAACACCCAUUUCACGAUCCGGAAAAAGUUCAGCUCAACCUCUUCUCCCGUCGCCAAAGCCGGUUGGCUUCUGGGUCUCGGAGGAGAGAAGAAGAAGAAGAGCAUCAGCAUGCCCGAUAUAGUGAAAGCAGGUGACCCGGUUUUGCACGAACCGGCCCGAGAUGUUGAGCCCGGGGAUAUUGGGUCGGAGAGGAUCCAGAAGAUAAUUGAUGAUAUGGUGAGGGUGAUGCGGAAGGCUCCUGGGGUCGGUCUUGCCGCUCCUCAGAUUGGAAUUCCCUUGAGGGUCAGUUUUGGUAUUUUAUCUUAAAGGCUCAAGUUAAUCACUGACUAUUUAUUAAACGGUACACUAGUAAUAUCACUGUUUCCUAAAUUAAACACUUAUUAUUUCUCAAACGGAACACUAAUACUAUCACUAUUUCUUAACUGAACAUUGACUACUUCUUAAAAUGAACAUUAUUUCUCAAAUUAAACACUGACUAUAUCUUAAACCGAACAUUAGUACAUCACUAUUUUAUAAAUUGAACAUAAGUACUGUCACUAUUUCGUAAACUAAACACUGACUAUUUCUUAAACGGAACACUAGUACUAUCACUGUUUUGUAAACUAAACACUGACUAUUUCUUAAAUGGAACACUAGUACUAUCAUUGUUUCAUAAACUAAACACUGACUAUUUAUUAAACGGAACACUAGUACUAUCAUUGUUUUGUAAACUAAACACUGAUUAUUUCUCAAACGGAAUACUAAUACUAUCACUUGUUCGUAAAUUAAACAUUGACUAUUUUUAAAAUCGAACACUAAUACUAUCACUAUUUCGUAACUAGAACUAUCAUAUUCGUGUUUGUUAUUUGACAUUGACUUUCCUUUAAUUUUUUUUUUCCACACAAACUGAGCUUCUCUCUUCAUUUACGCAUACAAAAAUACCCACAUCAGUUUUGGUCGCCCACAACCCAGACCAAAUUGAACCUAGCCCACCCCUUGUAAACCCACCGAGAUGCGAGUUUGAGAGAGUCACAAGAACAACUUUAGCAGAAUUUGUUAAGAGUUUUACAUGCUGACAUUGUAACCCACAUCAAUUUUAGUGCAUUGAGUGCCCUUUAACUCCACAUCACCUUGCCAGUGAAUCAGUUUCUGUUGCCAUUGCGAAUCUAUCGGCGGAGCCCCAAAUCACCCACUUUGACAAAUCCAGUUCCACCGAAUCAACCUCCCUCCCUCCAAAUUGAAAUACAAACCCUCUUAUGUGAUGACUCACCAACCUCGGAGUAAUCAAAUUUAACACCCCCGUUGACCUCAAGAAAUGAUUCAGGAUUUGGAAGCAAACGAGAAGCAAUCCGGGAUUAGAAAAUCAAAUCACAGAUGAACAAAACCCAUAAUUUAUCUGUGUUCUUCUCUCUCUCCUCUCUUUAUUUGCGCACUAAAUCAGUUUCCCAUCAUCAACUUGAAAAAUCGAAGUGGAGUUGCAGAUAGAAAGUUAGAGAGAGAAAGUGAGAAAGAGAGUGGGGGAGCGCGAGAGGGAGCUCAUGGGAUUUAUGGGUUGUUGGGGGUGAAUAUAAAGAAUCGUGACUUUUUCAGCUCUCUGACAAGGGCAAAAGUAAACUGACGGAAUAAAACGAAACUGACUUAACCUAAAACGUUAGGGGCAAAAUCGACAAGUAAUGGUAUUAUUUUGGUUGGGCCAUUGUAGUUGGACUGCUUUAGUAUUAAGCUUUGUACUAACCAUUAAAUAAAGUUGUAACAUGUUUUUUGGUUAAAAUCCAAAGUUUUCAAGCCUUUUUCAUUAGUUUUCCUUUUAAACUAUCAUUCAUAGAAAUUUAAAAAUGACACAUAUUUACAUAGAAUUUAAACAUGAGAAUAGGAGGUCCCAAAUUUUAUAGGUUUUUUCUCACGCGAAAAUUCUAAAUUUUUUUUUUAUAAAUUCAAACAAAAAAAAAUUGAUGCAUAUCAAUUUAUAAACCAAAUUGUAAGUUUGUUUCCCUUGUGCAAUUGCAACCAUAGUGUAAAAGAAAGCUUGGCUUGACGUUGUUAUUAAGGUGCCUGAACGACGACAUUAUUGUUGCUGUCGUUUGAUUGAAGCAGCGGACGACAUCAUCACCUGCAAAGCAUUCUUAAACCCUCUACUUGAAAAUCCGAACCACGGCUAUGGAAACCAUCCACCGAUUCUCGCUUCGUCUCGGCCCGAUUUGUCUAGCUACCGCCCCGAUAUUUCUGAACUCCCGAAUCAUCUCUCUUUGAAUCCCGGACUUCCAAACCCGGAUCCAGUCUCCAACACCCAUUUCACGAUCCGGAAAAAGUUCAGCUCAACCUCUUCUCCCGUCGCCAAAGCCGGUUGGCUUCUGGGUCUCGGAGGAGAGAAGAAGAAGAGCAUCAGCAUGCCCGAUAUAGUGAAAGCAGGUGACCCGGUUUUGCACGAACCGGCCCGAGAUGUUGAGCCCGGGGAUAUUGGGUCGG
rnacentral:lncRNA from 1 species